rnacentral:rRNA from 1 species
GUGGGGAAUAUUGGACAAUGGGGGGAACCCUGAUCCAGCCAUGCCGCGUGUGUGAAGAAGGCCUUUUGGUUGUAAAGCACUUUAAGCGAGGAGGAGGCUACCGAGAUUAAUACUCUUGGAUAGUGGACGUUACUCGCAGAAUAAGCACCGGCUAACUCUGUGCCAGCAGCCGCGGUAAUACAGAGGGUGCAAGCGUUAAUCGGAUUUACUGGGCGUAAAGCGCGCGUAGGUGGCCAAUUAAGUCAAAUGUGAAAUCCCCGAGCUUAACUUGGGAAUUGCAUUCGAUACUGGUUGGCUAGAGUAUGGGAGAGGAUGGUAGAAUGCCAGGUGUAGCGGUGAAAUGCGUAGAGAUCUGGAGGAAUACCGAUGGCGAAGGCAGCCAUCUGGCCUAAUACUGACACUGAGGUGCGAAAGCAUGGGGAGCAAACAGGAUUAGAUACCCCUGUAGUCC